AUAUUUGUUGCUGGUGAGUUGCCAUUUAAGCAAAAGCAAAUAAUUAGCUUUGAUGCUGUGAGUACUUGCUGGCGGGUAUUUAUUAUGAAUCACUGUUAGCGUUGUUGUUGUUGUUUUUGCAUCCAUCAAAUUACAUGAGAGUUACAUUAAUUUUUAAUUACUUCAAACGAAUCUAACGAAAGCGCACUUCAUUAAUCACGCAUUCAUGCAAAUACUAGGAAGUGUUCCCAUGUGCGAUGACAUAAGACCGGCCGCAGUGAGACUAAACAAAUAAUGCUUGCUGCAGAUAUGGAAAUGAUUUAUUCGCAAAAUUAAGUGGAAUGACUUUUAUGGAAUUUCGGUGAAACAAUUAAAGACUGGUUAGUGUAAAUAAACAAAAACAAAACGGAUUGUGGGCAUUAUUUCAACCAUAUGUAUAUUAAAAAAAAAUACGUCAGAUCUGGCAACAUCAGUUUAUUUGCUGUAUAUAAAGAAAAGCGCACAUUAACAGAAAAUCUGCCAACACAAUGCCGAAUAAGAAACUAUAAAAAGUUCGUUCCAAGCUAUUGAACAACACCUAGACUGCGUUAGCGAGCGAAAUGUGUUUCAUUUUUUUAGGUUUUUUAUUGGUAAAGUACCAGGCAGAGCUCGCAAUGCCCUUACAUUGUCAAUAAAAUAAUAAUCGACGUUAACUAUUUGGCCUCAUGGCAUUCUGCUAACGACUGACUGCGACCUUUGGUCUUUUGGCUCUAAAUCUUACAACGGCCAAUCUAAUUCAGCUGUCCAUAAGCUCAGUCGGCUUAAACCUUGUUUACGAGUUCAUAAUUACAAUAA